UGAGUAACGCGUGGGUAACCUGCCCUUAAGUCUGGGAUACCAUUUGGAAACAGAUGCUAAUACCGGAUAAAAGCUACUUUCGCAUGAAAGAAGUUUAAAAGGCGGCGUAAGCUGUCGCUAAAGGAUGGACCUGCGAUGCAUUAGCUAGUUGGUAAGGUAACGGCUUACCAAGGCGAUGAUGCAUAGCCGAGUUGAGAGACUGAUCGGCCACAUUGGGACUGAGACACGGCCCAAACUCCUACGGAGGCAGCAGAG
rnacentral:rRNA from 1 species